rnacentral:tRNA from 1 species
CGGAAUUUUUGAGCUUAAGAACAUUUGACUGGGAGUCAAAAGGUCGAGAGUUCAAAUCUCUCUAUCCCGACCA